rnacentral:lncRNA from 1 species
UUUUUUUCAGUACCCAUCUUAUGACCUCAUAUUUGUUUUAAACCUCGAAUGAAACCACAAUUGGAUUUGGGUAUUGAGGCAAUCUCGCCACUAAACGUGGAACUGAACUAGUAUUAGUAUAAACACAGUAUUUAUUUUUCUUUCUUUAAAGAAACGACCGUUAAUAUUGGUUCAUUCAUCUUUCUUUCUCUUUUUGAAUAAAAUUUUACCUAC